UCAGUCACUAGCAUUUGACAUGCAGAUGGAGAAAGCAAAAUCAGUUUCAGGAUCUCAGACAUGGCAGAAGAGAGGUGGCCAGCAUGGGAGGGGUGUGCAGGCCCUGGGUCCCACCAGCAAAAGUGGCCUCUUGUCACCUUCACCAGGGACCCUCUCAGCCUGAGGUCAGGGCAGGUGGGAGUCAGUGGGGAGGUCUGCAGAAGAAGAAAGACUUAUCCAUACCUCUGAUUUGGAGUUGAGCUUGGAGUCACCAAAACUGAGGCCCUGCUUUAGAAGUCACUGAUAGCCAAGCUAGUUUCAGGAGCUUCAGUUUCCUCAAUCAUCAAUCAACGACAUCACCAGCCCUCUCCUGCUCAGCUAGUGGGUUAGCAUUAGGAGGUGCUGGGGGAAGGGAAGGAGUCCUGUGAGUUUGAAGAGGCACUGGAGAGCAGAUGUGUAUUACAGCGGCGACAAGUGGUCCCCUUCUCCUUCAGAACCCUUCCAAAAGGGCCUGGAUCCAGCUGGCUUCAUAGCUAUGUUUCCCAUCAGUCUGAACACAGGGGUGCCCUGAAACUGGUAGACAGAUGAGCUAAGGACAGGAAGCAUCCAUUAGCAUCUUGUUGUGUUCUCCCAAAGGUCCAAGAAGACACAUGAACACAUCAGUAGAUCAGAGUAAUGUGAAAUCCAUUCAGCUGCUGGAGGCAAGUGUGGUGUUCCUUUGUAAAACCAUUAUGGGGUAUGUGUGCAUGUGUGUGUGCGUGUGUGUGUGUGUGUGUGUGUGUGUGUGUGUGUGUGUGUGUGAUGCUCACUCAUGCAUGUGGGGACCAGAGGUUUACCCUUCUGCUUUCAUUCCUCAGGUGCUGUCCACUUUCCUUUUUGAGACAGGGUCUCUCAUGGGUGAAACCCAUGAGUAAUUUGCUCACCUCUGUCUCCCCCACACUGACAGCCCAUAUGCAGCCAUGCUCAGAUUCUUUUUUAUGUUAGUUCUGAGCAUCUAUAUGCUUUCCAAGCAAACAUUUUACUGAUUGAGCCAUCUCACCAGCCUCAUUAGAUGAUGCCAAGUGGGUUUUCUGUGUCCUCCAUGGCUGAGUAGGAAAGGAGAGGCUGCUUCGCACACAGGGUUACACACACAUGACCUCUUGGGUGGUCCACACGCUCGAGGCCACAACGUUUCAGUGUGCUAACGGCAGUCCCAUCCAGUGUGAAGCUGCAGAGUGAAGGCAUGGCCCCACCUACAGACAACUGCAGCCUCUUUCCCAAGCUGACAUCAAACUAGCCAGCCCAGGAUAUUUUCUCAGAGCACCAGAAGGGAAACCAUGACAAUCCCUACAGCAUGUCUCCCUGCUGUGGAUUCCAUUUUCCUAAAGAUUCACUUUGUUUUUAUUUUGGGGCAGUGGUGGUCUGGAGGGCAGGAGAGUGUUGGAUGCCCUUGAAGCUGGAGUUACUGGCAGUUAUGAGUUACAUGGCAUGGAUGGUGGGAACUAAACUUUGGUCCUCUAGAUGAGCAUCAAGCAGUCUUAACCGGUGGGUGAGCCAUCUCUCCAGCUCCCUACAAUGAUUUGAACAUCAAAUGUCUCCCAUUGGGUCUCAAAUAUCCCCAAAGGCCUAUAUGUUGAGGCUUGGUCCCAGCUUGGUGCUGUAGGGAGUGUCUUAAUUUCCCUUCCUUUGCUUUGGUAAAAUAUCCUGUCCUGGCUAAUUUUAUGUCAGCCUGACACUAGCUAGAGCCAUCUGAGAAAAAAGAACUUCAAUUAGAAAAUUCCUCCAUAAAAUGGGACUGUCAGCAAGCCUGUAGGAUGUUUUCUUAGUUUGUGAUUGGUGUGGGAGGGUCCAGCUCACUGCUAGUGGUGUCAUCCCUGGGCUGGUGCUCCUGGGUUCUGUAAGAAAGCAGCCCAGCAGGAGCAAGCCAUGGGGAGCCAGUCAAUAAACAGUUCUCUUCCAUGGCCUCUGCUUCAGCUCUUGCCUCUGGGAUCCUACUCUGACUUCCUGCCCUGACUUCCACACCUGUAGUCCUAGCAAAAGGGAAACUAAGGCAAGAGGACUGCAAGUUCAAAGCCAGCAUGACCUAUAUGGUAAAAACCUGAUUAGGAAUGGGAAAAGGAGGAGAGAGAGAAGGAAGUAAAGAAACAAUGAACGAAAAAAAAAGAAAGAAGGAAAGAAAGGCCAGUUCUGAUGAAGUCUCCAAUGCUUUACACAGUAGAAAGCUCAAAAUUAGAAAAACUAGAAGUUUCCAAGUUCUUGACUUCUGCUACAGACCAACACUUAAACAAAGAAAACAAACAAACAAACAAACAAACAAACAAACAAAAAACCCACUAUUUCCCUUUGGAAAAAUAUACACACAGGGCUGGUAAAAUGGCUCAGUGGGUAGAGCACUCACCCAGAGCAGUCAGUGUGGGAUAACUAAGCCUCAAUGGGCUUAGAGCAUGCACAGUAGAUAUUUCCUAACAGCCAGCCUGGGUCUGCCAGAGGACCUUGACAACAGCAGCUGAGUCUGACGAGAGAUGACAUAAACCAAUGGACAGCGACCACAUCACCGCAGAUGCCAACCUAGUGGGUCUCCUCCCCUGGGAUAGAGCUGGGGGUAUAUAAGGCUUACCCCUUCCUGGAAUAAACUGAGCUUGUUGUUUCCACUUGUUCCCCAUACCUUUGUCGUUGGUGUCAUGUCUACUUUUCCCACCCCCAAGGGACACCCAUCAGGACCCUGAAACAAGGCAGGAGGAUCUAACUCCCCAGAACCCCACAAAGGCAGGCCAUGGUGGCAUGCACCUGUCAUCCCAGACCAAGAAGAAAUCCUGGGAGCUCAUAGGCCAGCUAGCUUGGCAUUCACAGUGUGGCAACAACAAAAAGAAACCUCAUCUCUCAAAAGGUAGAAGCUGAGGACCAAUAUCCAAGGUCGUUCUUCAAGCUCCAUUCAAACGCCAUGGCAUGUACACACACACAGAUAUAAGCCACCUUCAUACAUAUGAACAUACACACCGCACACAAACAUAUGAAUACUCAGAUUUCUUUUUAAAAGAAAAAUAUGUAGACACAAACUAAACAAGCCAGCAAAGUGGCAUUUCAGAAGACACAUAAAAUAAUUCUAGAUGAAAUGAGGACAGACUGUGUCAGAACAGGGCACCGGCAGAAUAUACUUCAUGAGAGGGACAACGAAAGAGCUGGUUUGUGGGGCUGGGUCCAUGAACUGGAGGAGGCUUCAGAGUGAUGGGAAGGCUGUGACUCUAGAGCACUCAGUGAUCGAGUUAGCUAGUUUAGAUCCCGGAAAUCAAGACUACAACCAACGCUCUGUAUGUCAGACCACAGCAGCUCUAGGUGCUUUACUAUGGGUCUCUGUACCCACCUGUGCUGGCAUGCCAUCACUCACCUACCUAUACCUACUUGCAGUCUCUCACCUCUGUCCUCUGGUGUGACACACCUGGAAAUGAGGUACCUCCUUCAACCAUACUAUCUGCGACCUCUUCUCUGGGCCUUGGUGAAGAGUCAUUGCAGAAGUUACUAAUGAUCCCUUCUGAGGAUAGGGACACUCUCUCGAGGAACACAGUCAGAAGAGGGUUUAUGUGGAGACGAGAGGAACAACUUCAUGUGUCACCCUCAGGAAUGCUGUACACCACUUUUGAGACAGGGUCUCUCAUUGGCCUGGAACUCACCAAGUAGGCUGGCUGGCUGGCUGGCCAGCGAGCCCCAGGACUCUGCCCAUCUCUGUCUCCCCAGCACUGACAUUAUAAGCACACACCACAAUGCCCAGAAUUUUUUUGUGGAUUCUGAGGAUUAGAAUCAGGUCUUCGUGCUUGUGAGGUAUCUCUACAACCCUUCUGCCUUUUAAACUAAUUUAUUUUUAAAUUUUUCUUACACCUAUAAUCUGUAUGUUGAACGCAUUCCCCUAUAUACCCUGUCCUUCCUCUUCUCACCCCUCCCCUCUCCUUCUAGUCCCCCUAAAUGUUUUACCCCUAAAAAAUUUCCUUCUAGUUUUUGUGUCAUGUAUACAUGCAUGGUUUAUGUAUCUGUAUAAAAUCUAGGAACCACAAAUGAGAGAAAGCAUAUAGCUUUUGUCUUUCUGCAAGUUUCUGUGUCAUUCAGUCUGUGGACAGGUCUUACUGUCCCUGUGUUAACCAUUGUGUGUGACUACAACAAAUAGCAAUCAACUAGGGAAGUGAGGGCUCACAGUGGCUCACAGCUUCUGAGGCCUUGGCCUGUGGGACAGGCCGUGACUAUAGGCCGAAGUCAAGAUAGCACACAUAGCAGGAGUGUGCAUCCCAGCAAAACUGCUCAGCCCACAGGCACGGAGCAAGAGAGGACAAGGAGGAGACCAAGCAAGGCUCACAGAUCUCCAUCAAAAGUACACCCCCAGUGACCAGAAGAGUUCCCACUGGGUUCCACUUCUUCAAGGUUCCGCUACCUUCCAAUGGCACCAGAUGCUGAGCCUUGAGCCUGGAAGAGGAGGGGCCAAGAUAGGCUGGCAGAAAGAUGAAGCUUCCGCACAUACUACCAGGAGUGAGGUCCAUGUCCCAGGAUGUGGGGCACAUGCUUAUCUCAGGGAACAUUAUAAACAUGCAUUCCCCAGCUGGUGGUGCUGUCAGGGAGAGGGAAGAAUCCUGAGGAGGCGGAGCCUGGCUGGAGGAAGUACAUCACAGGAAGUGGGAUUUGAGGCUUUGUAGCUUUGUUCCACAUCCUGUUCCCUCUUCCUUCCUGAGUGUGACAAACGUGAACUAACAGCUUUCUGUUCCUGCUGCCAUACCCUCUCUGCCUGUUGAGAUGUCUUCUCCACCAUGAAGGACUCUGUCCCUCUGGAACUGACUCUGAAUUGUAAGAUUCUCAUGGUUCAAUGGUUAACCCAGCAGAACAAUUAUGGUGGUGUCCCAGCCACUGAGGAGAGAAGGAGGAAAGUCAGGACUGUCCAAGAACCAGGCCUCAAAGCCAGCAGCUAAAGUCAUGUACCACCAAGCCUGAUGACCUGAGUUUAAUCCCCAGGGCCCACAUGGUGGAAGGAGAGAACCAACUUCAAUCAACUGUCCUCUGGCCUGCAUGCAUGGGCUGUGGCAUGUGUCCCUUCCACCUACAAAACAAAUAAAUAUAAUACAAUUUUUAAUUAACACUGGUGGCAAGUCUAUAUUUGGGGAGAAACCUGAGGGCGAGAACUUCAUCCUGAGCAUACAGGUCCUGGUAUCUUGUCCAUGGAAAAAGCUAGACCAAGCACAGAUGGUUCCCACUGUUUCAUCAGCACUGCCAAGCCUGGGUGGUCUGACAAGCAUGCAGUCUUUUGGAAGAUGAAAGAUGAAGUGGGUGUUGUGGAACCUAUGGAGUGCCUCACUCAGGUCCAGGCACCUCAAGACCACAAGAUCACCACUGCCGACUAUGGACAAUUGGACCGCAUCGACGUGUGCUUCCUAACCAGCAGUCCCAUGCUUCUGUACUCAGGAGAGGCCUAGUCUCUCUUAAUAUCCCACAAGUUUUAAUCUGCAGUUUUGGGGAUUUCAUGUUUUCCUUGUUUCCUCUAAGUCUGGCUGCAUUGUAGAAUUAAGUCUAUGAUUAUAAACAAAAAUUAAAUAAGAAAAAUGCUAUGCAGAGAGAAUAUGAGUGCCAAUAUCAGUGGUGACCAUCUUACUGAGUCACAAAGUGACUGACAGACCUCAUUCUAGAGGCCAUCUUGGUUAGGCUUUGUUCCUAUGGCCUUCUAGAGUUCCAUUCAACUUUAAAGAGCAGGAGAAUGCCAUGGUGUGUUAGCUAUUUUUCUCCAUGCUGUGGUGGCAUGCCUAGUAAAUGACAACUGAAGGAGAGUUGACUUUGGCCCACAGUUUGAGGGCAUAGCCCUUCAUGAUGAGGAAGGCAUGGCAGCAGGAGCAUGAUACGGCUGGAACAUUGCAUCCACCAUCAGGAACCUGGUGCUCCAACAGCUUUCAGUCCAGGACCCAGCCCAUGGGAUGGUGCUGCUCACAUCCCCACAUUCAGGGUGAGACUUCCCACCUUAGUUGUCUAGACACUCCCUCACAGAUGUGCCCAGAGGCUGUUUCCUGGGGAUUCUGGAUCCUGUUGAGUUGACAAUCAGUAUUAGCCAUCACACCUGGAACACCUCCCUGAUCUAGCUGAGUUGCUGAUCCUCAAGACAGGGUGGCUUUUGACAUUCAUCUAAUCCCUAAGAAUUUCCCACACACCCCCAGGUUGUUGCUCCAGUGACGCAGCGCUAAGAAAGACUCACAUGCCACUUCUACCACAAGCCCUUUAAGAUUUCACCUAUAACUUCUUUAUCUGUAACUGGAGGACAUUAGCUUUGCUGUGCAAGUUUGACAACCAGAGUCUGAUCCUAGCAGCCACGUUUAAACAGCAGGUUGGGGAGCAGUGGAGCAUGUCUAUAAUCUCAGCACUCCAAUGACAAGAAGGAAGAUGGAGACCAGAGAACGGGUGAGAAGCUAACAGGCUAGCCAGACUGGAGCACGAAGUGCAGUGCCAGAAUGAGGGGGAAGUCUUCACAGAACUGUGUGAUACAAAGCUGUCCUCUGACACCUGGGCUAUCCUAGGUAAGGCUGGAGACAGAGCUGCCCCAGGCACAAGGAUGACCUGAGAGCCAUAGUUCUCCCCAGAGACAGUGUGUACUUCAUGAAGCUCAAUCCCUUCUUGUUCUUAUCUGCAAAUCCCCCAACUCCGCUUGGACUCAGCACAGCCUCUUCUGAGGGAGACAGCAAAUACUUGCAUAACAAGCACUUGACUCCUCUCCAAAGCCAAGGUUUGUUCCGAUGGCUUUGACUUUCAACCUCCCUGUGUCUCCUUGAAAAGAUGAACUGCACUUUUGUACCACAGGACACGCCAGGAAUAGCUCCCAUGGAGGGAUCGUGGGCGGGGUGAGCAUCAGGAAAUGGCCACGCGGUCAGCCCAAGGGCUCCAAGGUACCAUUAAGAUGAUGGGCGCCUUUUUCCACCGAGGCUGCACGAGCCAUUGGCUUCAUUAGUCAUCUCUUCCAUGGGAGGUCACAGAUAGAGAGCAGCUGUCCAGUGCUCCUCUUGCUGGCACAGGGACUCUGGAGACCAUGCUUGCAUCCUUGAGAGCAGAGGACACUGGAGAACAAUUUCAGUCUACUCCAUCCCAGGUGAGGACUGAGAACAAAUAUGGUCUCUGCCUGAAGGUCAAGGCUUCAGCAAGAUGGACACAAACUCUACUCAGCCACUGUGGUAUGUUUCAGCAUCUUCCCACAGUGACUACUAUACGCAGUCAAUGGUGCGCCAUGAAGAAGGAGAGAGACAACACUUAUGGAUUCCAAAGGUAAAUAAGUCACCGUAGCCAGAAGGUGGUGGUGGUGCACACCUUUAAUCCCAGCACUCAGAAGGCAGAGGCAGGCGGAUCUCUGAGUUUGAGGCCAGCCUGGUCUACAGAGUUCCAGGACAGACUCCAAAGCUACACAGAGUAACCCUGUCUCAAAAAAAACUAACUAAAUAAGUAAAUAAGUGGCUGUUUGUUUGUUUGGUUUGGUUUUUUGAGACAGGGUUUCAUGAUGGAGCAGGGCCACAGGACAAGGACUCAGGAGCCUUGUUUCUCCUGACAGCCCCAAGCAGCAGCGGGCUCUAUAAACACAAAACCCACAAACAUUUGUUGCCAAGUUACAGUUACAAUUUUCACCAAUCACGGUUUAGGGAUUUAGGGACUUUCCCUAUGUGUUCCAUCAUUGUUAACUGACAAAAAAUGUAAGGUUUUUCAGUCCAACCAAUGAGAUUCAUUUGUUCUUUCUGUUGUUAGGAACAGCCAUGAUGCUUUUGAGAACUAAGGGGCAUAAAAGACAGUGUCUAUGUUUAAGGAGGAGGUGGGUCAGCUAUGGAAGGUUCCCAGCUCCCCUAGGCCUGUGAACCUGGGUAAAAUGGAGUCUGAAUUCAAAAUGGCAGUACCUAGGGCAAGGUGCUUUUGCCUGCUCCCUUCCCCCAAAUCUCCUAACAUCAACCACUUCCCAUCAAAGGAAAAAUGACUGAGCAUAGCAUUCAAACAAUUACAUUUCCCAAUGACACAACCACUCUGUUGACCAAACACAGCAUCCAGCACAGUCAUCACCUGCAAGGAAGAGUCAGACAUGUCCCUAUCUGAAGAGCUGGGGUCAUUGCUCUUGUUAGAAAGUUGGCAUAUAUAGGAUUAGAAGUGAGGAUUGUAGCUUCCGAGUCAGCAGAGCCCACAGCAGGGCUGGAGCUGUAUCUUUGCUGGUAGAGUGCUUGCCUAACACGCAUGAGGUCUUAGGUUCCACCCCCAAUGCUGCAUAAACUAGAUGUGAUGUCAUAUCUGUAAUCUCAGCACUUGGGAGGCAGAGUUUGGAAGAUCAGAAGUUCAAAAUCAUCCUCAGCUAUGCAGAGAGUUGGAGGCUAGCCUGAGCUAGCAACAAAAAAACAAAAAGAUCCCCAUAUUUUUCCCAUGAGAACGCCUGCCCACAUGAGUCAGGAAUACUUUGCUGUGACAGAAACAGGAAACUAGUAAGGAGGCCCAAGAAGAACAGGGUUAGUCAUGAGUCAAGUGGCAGGCUGGUUGCCUCUCUGCCUCCUAGUUGGUGCUUUUGGUUGGUCUCCAGGUUGGAGGCUGGGCCCAAGGAAAGGUGUGAGAAGGAACAGAUCACAGUGAGUCCUUGGCAGCAUCAGGCCUUCCCUCUGCGGUCUGUGGGGGGAAGGGGGUGGAGCAGAGCCUUACCCUGUCCCAAGUCUGUCCCCACAGGGGACACAGACAGAGAGGUCUGACCCUCAGAGGGAGCACAUAAAACUGGCAUUGCCCCACUCUCACUUUCCAGAUGGGGAAAUAGAGCCGCCACAGGGCUAUGGGACCCAAGACAUAGAGAGAUUUUUUUGCGGUGGGUCAAGAAA